rnacentral:lncRNA from 1 species
GUCUUCCUGGGAUACCAGGACUGCCAGGGAAUCCGGGUGUUCAGGGGCCCCCUGGGUUCUCAGGCCCCUCUGGAUUUAGAGGUUUGUUUGGAAGCGUCCAGUUUUUAUAACACUGUUCUGUAAAUUGAAGAACUUUUGAGACAAAUGUGACACAAACUGUAAAAAAAAUGUUAAAAUGUAAUAACAACAUUUCAUUUCUGUGAUGCAGGUGAUGCCGGUGCCUGCGCUUGUGGACCUCCAAUCAACGUACCAGGUCCUCCAGGGCCUAAAGGCUUCUCUGGGAGUCCAGGGUUGCCAGGGUCCCAGGGACCCCAAGGCCCGAGAGGAGAGACGGGUCAUGUGGGAGAUGUAGGACUGAGAGGGGAAGAGGGUCUGGGUGGAGAUCAGGGCCUUAAAGGGCUGAAAGGUCAGAAAGGGAGUUUUCGAGUGGUUGAUUUUAAAGGUGAGUUCCUGUUUUCUCACAGAAGCUGUUGAAGGUUUGGAAAAUGCUGCUUUGGACGAUGGUGUGUAUGUUUAAUGUUUUGUGUCUGCAGGUGAGAAGGGAGAUCCGGGCCCUCCAGGUGUGCCAGGCAAACCAGGACCCUCUGGACUAACAGGGCUUAGUGGGAAUCCAGGGGCCUCUGGAUUCAUGGGCCCUGAGGGGGAGGCUUUUUCUGGUAUUACUGGAGACAGAGGUCCGCCAGGACCCCCGGGACCUGCUGGGCCCCCAGGACCUGCUGGGCCCCCAGGACGUGGUGUUAUGGGUGCGAUGGGAAAGCGAGGGGCCCCUGGGACUCCAGGAGUCAUAGGAUUUCCUGGACCUCCAGGACCAAGAGGCAUUAAAGGUGAGAUUCUACUGAUGAGUUUUCAGGACUCAAAAGACUUUGCUGAGAAAAUAAAAUAAAAGAAUGCACCCCAGUCUGUCCCACACAGGAACCGCUGACUGAUAAGCGUCAUACAUAUG